rnacentral:rRNA from 1 species
UACGUAGGGGGCUAGCGUUGUCCGGAUUUAUUGGGCGUAAAGAGCGUGUAGGCGGCCAUGUAGGUCCGUUGUGAAAACUCGAGGCUCAACCUCGAGACGCCGAUGGAAACCAUGUGGCUAGAGUCCGGAAGAGGAGAGUGGAAUUCCUGGUGUAGCGGUGAAAUGCGCAGAUAUCAGGAGGAACACCGGUGGCGAAGGCGGUUCUCUGGGCAUUACCUGACGCUGAGGAGCGAAAGUGUGGGGAGCGAACAGG